AACGAACGCUGGCGGCAGGCUUAACACAUGCAAGUUGAACGCAUCCUUCGGGGUGAGUGGCAGACGGGUGAGUAACGCGUGGGAACGUGCCCUUCAGUUCGGGAUAACCCAGGGAAACUUGGGCUAAUACCGGAUACGUGCGAGAGCAGAAAGAUUUAUCGCUGAAGGAUCGGCCCGCGUCUGAUUAGCUAGUUGGUAGGGUAAUGGCCUACCAAGGCGACGAUCAGUAGCGGUCUGAGAGGAUGAUCAGCCACAUUGGGACUGAGACACGGCCCAAACUCCUACGGGAGGCAGCAGUGGGGAAUAUUUGGACAAUGGGCGGCAAAGCCUGAUCCAGCCAUGCCGCGUGAGUGAUG
rnacentral:rRNA from 1 species